rnacentral:rRNA from 1 species
UACGGAAGGCAGCAGUGGGGAAUAUUGCACAAUGGGCGCAAGCCUGAUGCAGCCAUGCCGCGUGUAUGAAAAAGGCCUUCGGGUUGUAAAGUACUUUCAGUCGUGAGGAAGGUGUUAAGGUUAAUAACCUUAGCAAUUGACGUUAGCGACAGAAGAAGCACCGGCUAACUCCGUGCCAGCAGCCGCGGUAAUACGGAGGGUGCGAGCGUUAAUCGGAAUUACUGGGCGUAAAGGGCACGCAGGCGGUUAAUUAAGUUGGAUGUGAAAUCCCCGGGCUUAACCUGGGAAUGGCAUUCAAGACUGGUUAGCUAGAGUCUUGUAGAGGGGGUUAGAAUUCCAUGUGUAGCGGUGAAAUGCGUAGAGAUGUGGAGGAAUACCGGUGGCGAAGGCGGCCCCUGGACAAAGACUGACGCUCAUGUGCGAAAGCGUGGGAAGCAAACAGGGAUUAGAUACC